rnacentral:rRNA from 1 species
UACGGGGGGAGCGAACGUUGUUCGGAUUCACUGGGCGUAAAGGGGGCGUAGGCGGCUCAGUAAGUGGGGAGUGAAAUCCUUCGGCUCAACCGAAGGCCUGCUUUCCAAACUGCCGAGCUUGAGUCCGGGAGGGGAGACGGGAAUUCCUGGUGUAGCGGUGAAAUGCGCAGAUAUCAGGAGGAACACCGGUGGCGAAGGCGCGUCUCUGGACCGGUACUGACGCUCAGGCCCGAAAGCGUGGGGAGCAAACAGG